CUCCCGCCGGCGACCGGCGCACGGGUGAGUAACACGUAUGAAACCUGCCCGUAGCAGGGGGAUAAGCGGAAGAAAUUCCGUCUAAUACCGCGUAACAACCCGAGGAGGCAUCUCCUCGGGUUUAAAGGAAGCGAUUCCGGCUACGGAUGGUCAUGCGUCGCAUUAGCUAGUUGGCGGGGUAACGGCCCACCAAGGCGACGAUGCGUAGGGGUUCUGAGAGGAAGGUCCCCCACACUGGUACUGAGGCACGGACCAGACUCCUACGGGAGGCAGCAG
rnacentral:rRNA from 1 species